rnacentral:rRNA from 1 species
AUUGAACGCUGGCGGCAUGCCUUACACAUGCAAGUCGAACGGCAGCACGGGAGCAAUCCUGGUGGCGAGUGGCGAACGGGUGAGUAAAGUAUCGGAACGUGCCCAGUCGUGGGGGAUAACGUAGCGAAAGUUACGCUAAUACCGCAUACGAUCUAUGGAUGAAAGCGGGGGAUCGCAAGACCUCGCGCGAUUGGAGCGGCCGAUAUCAGAUUAGGUAGGUGGUGGGGUAAAGGCUCACCAAGCCGACGAUCUGUAGAUGGUCUGAGAGGACGACCAGCCACACUGGGACUGAGACACGGCCCAGACUCCUACGGGAGGCAGCAGUGGGGAAUUUUGGACAAUGGGCGAAAGCCUGAUCCAGCCAUGCCGCGUGCAGGAUGAAGGCCUUCGGGUUGUAAACUGCUUUUGUACGGAACGAAAAGGUUUGGCCUAAUAAGCUGAGCUCAUGACGGUACCGUAAGAAUAAGCACCGGCUAACUACGUGCCAGCAGCCGCCGUAA